rnacentral:rRNA from 1 species
UGGGGAAUAUUGCACAAUGGGGGAAACCCUGAUGCAGCGACGCCGCGUGAACGAAGAAGGUAUUCGUAUCGUAAAGUUCUGUCCUAUGGGAAGUUAAUGACAGUACCAUAGAAGAAAGCUCCGGCUAAAUACGUGCCAGCAGCCGCAGUAAUACGUAUGGAGCGAGCGUUGUCCGGACUUAUUGGGCGUAAAGGGUACGCAGGCGGUUUAAUAAGUCGAAUGUUAAAGAUCGGGGCUCAACCCCGCAAAGCAUUGGAAACUGAUAAACUUGAGUAGUGGAGAGGAAAGUGGAAUUCCUAGUGUAGUGGUGAAAUACGUAGAUAUUAGGAGGAAUACCAGUAGCGAAGGCGACUUUCUGGACACAAACUGACGCUGAGGUACGAAAGCGUGGGGAGCAAACAGG